rnacentral:rRNA from 1 species
GUUAGGAAUAUUCGUCAAUGGGGGGAACCCUGAACGAGCAAUGCCGCGUGAGUGAUGACGGUCCUCUGGAUUGUAAAACUCUGUUGUUUGGAAAGAAUUGUAAGAAGAGGAAAUGCUUCUUAUUUGACGGUACCAUUCAAGAAAGCCACGGCUAACUACGUGCCAGCAGCCGCGGUAAUACGUAGGUGGCGAGCGUUAUCCGGAUUUAUUGGGCGUAAAGCGUCCGCAGCCGGUUUAUUAAGUCUAGAAUUAAAGCCUGGAGCUCAACUCCAGUUCGUUUUAGAAACUGAUAGACUCGAGUGUGGUAGAGGCAAACGGAAUUUCUAGUGUAGCGGUAGAAUGCGUAGAUAUUAGAAGGAACACCAGUGGCGAAGGCGGUUUGCUAGGCCACCACUGACGGUCAUGGACGAAAGCGUGGGGAGCAAAUAGGAUUAGAAACCCUAGUAGUCC